UGUCCAAUUGCUCGAUCAUUUUGAUAUUUAGUCUCUCAAGAGUUCUUUUCAUAGUUUAUUAUUCUUCAAGUUCCACUUUCAUCUUACUCAGUCGUGUCCAAAUGACUUUUCUAUAAAUUAUUCUAAAACAAGGUGUGUUGCUGCUAUGCUCCGAUGUAUACCUACGUGGUUUUUGCUUCUUAUUUUUCGAGCGUGUGUGUAUGAUGAUGUUGGUUUGUUGACAUGGCGCGUGGUCCGGUUGCGGCUCAUGCUCAAGCCAUGGUGUUGGGUUGGUAGGUGGUCGUGGGCGUGGCCGCAGGCGGUCUGCUGGUCGUCAUGGACGAGCCACUGGCUGUGGAGGUUCUAAUAUAGGGCGUGCUCCUGUUUCUGAUCAUGUCGCUGCUUGCCGGGUGCCUGCCGCUGGAGAUGAGCCUCGUGACAGGCGUAGGGGUGUGAGUUGGUGCGUGCCUGCUGCUGGAGCUGAGCCUAUCGCCAGGCGCAGGCGUGGCGCUCGGCAGGUGCCUGCUGCUGGGCAUGGCGCCAUACCUCGCUCAAGUGGUAGGGGUGUUCGUGGCCGUGUCCCUGGUCGUGGUGCUGAUCCUGGGCAUGCAGCCGCUGCUAUACAUGUGCAUGUCCUUGGUCGUCCUGCUGAUCCUGGGCACGACGCCGCUUCUGUGCAUAGAAAAUUCAUUUCUGCUGUCAACCAUCUUGGAAUUGACAGUUGACCACACUAUUGUGAUAUUCUUGGCCAGGGUCACUUUAUAUCAUGUUGGACCAUCUUGAAAUUCGUAGAGACUUUUAUCGUCGAAGGAUGUACUCACAGAACAAAAUGAAUGGACUGUGCUUUUCUACACUUUUGUCCAUAGCAGUGGGAUAUGUUUUCUGCAGUGCACGGCUACACUCUAAUGUCGCGAUGGCUGGCGAAGAGAUCUAGGUUCAUGGCUCGCUAGGUUCAGCCGUUCCACUAACAGCUGUCUCCGAGCACUUGCACAGGUUGAGUUGAGCAUAUGUAUACCUACCUUAGUCGGCGAAAAUAAUUAUGUGUGGUUUCAUGGACUCUUACCUUAUUGAUGGGCACCAUGCAGAGCUUGAGGAGAUGUAGGCCAGCGUGCCACCUCUUUCGCUUUUCAAGUGAUCGCUGAGCCGCCUUCUUUACUUCAGUGGCUUCUUGUGUCACCAUAGAUCCGUGUGUCACAACAUGCAAGCAAAUCAAAUGAAGGACUGUGGACAAAGUUAUAUAUCAAGCAAAUUGAAUGAAGGCGUGUGGACAAAGUUAUAUAUCCAAUAGUCAACCAUGUAGUUUACUAUCGCGCAGUAUGAAAAACAGUGUAAAUAAGUUACCUGAGACUAAUACUAUGGCCUGCUUUUGGUUUCUAUCAUACUAAACCUUGCUUAGGUAUUUCAUGUCACAUUGUAUAACAAAUGCGCCGAUGGCAUGUAGAUAGGGCCAUCUUUUAGAUAUUUUAUGGGGUGAUUACUGCUGUGAGUAUCUACCAUCACCUUCUCUUUGAGUUAUAUCAUAUAUAUUUCCAUCCUGGGGUAUAUUGAGUAAUAUCAGAUGUUAAUUGAAAAAGAGCUAUAUCAGGGGUUUGAUCAUUGAGUUUUUUUUGAUUAAUUCCUUGAUACAUUUUCAUGUUGAUAUAGUCUCUCCAUUUCCAUCCUUAAUAGACACACGCAUGUGGGAGUAGGGUUUCGGCAAGUAGCACCUCUUUGAUUAAGUUGUCCCGUUACAUGUGCUAAACUUGCUAUCCUACUAAUGCAUCAUGUGGCUUGUCUUCACUGCUUGGUCAUAUCGGUUGGACUGGCACCCUCGCGCCAAGGCGCGUUGCCGAUCUAGUGUAUCAGAUACUCUGAGAAAAUCCAUGCGAGGAGAACACACUCUACGCUUCUCCUCUUGCCAAGUGCAACCGUGGAGGGAGGAUGUACGGCAAGCAGUAGAGUUUCAGCCACCCCAAAACACGGAAGAAAAGGAAUCGACACACUGAACUUUCCCGCAAAGCAAACACGGGAUGCGGUGUGAUUUGGAAAUCCUUUACGACAAGAUUGCCUAGCUUUAAAAGCAAUAGGCAUUGAUCUCCACUAUGUGCUGGGCUACAACAAGCAUAUUGUGCCCAGGACAGAGGAAAACUGCUGCUUUUGGCAGAGUGAGAUUGUCCACCAAGAAAGUGAUUGGCCUGUUGGUAACCUGAGAUGCAGUUGCAGCAGCAACUUGAAGCUCCAUGGCCUCUGCUUGCAAUGGUGAUGAACUGAUGAUGCAGCACUACCAGCUGCAGAGAUCUGGAGUGGAGUUGCUUGUAUUCUUUUCCCCAAGUCAAGUGGCAUCCCAGUAUACCCUGCAUCCUGUAAUUAAAAAAAAUCUGAUUUGAUUGUAGAACCUUGCUUUGAAAUACUUUCAGAUUCUUGAUUUAGCUGAAAGCCUUGCCUAAUGGACGGACCUGUUUCA